UUCCUUUAGUAAUUAUUAGAGGUCAGCCCUGCCCGGUGACAGCUAACUGUUUAACGGSCGCAGUACUUUGACUGUGCUAAGGUAGCCUAAUCAUUUGGCUUGUAAUUCAAGUCUGUAUGAAGGGGUUUUUGGGUAGGCUCUUUAUUGUUCCUCUAUUAUGAAUUUAGUAAUAAGGUGAAAAUACCUUAUAAAAGAAAAAAGACGAGAAGACCCUUGGAAUUUUAGAUUUUGUUGGGGCAACAAGUGAGCAGCCAAUCUCACCUUAACAAGAAGCAUUAGUCAGGGUUUUCAAGUAUACUUAAAUUACCCAAGGGAUAACAGCAUUAUAAAUUCUUGUUUGUGACCUCGAUGUUGGACUARGGAGAAAUUAAAAUAGCCUUUUAAUUUUAUAGCUCUGUUCGAGCUUUUUGACCU
rnacentral:rRNA from 1 species